rnacentral:lncRNA from 1 species
UGGAAAGGAUCGUAUCGAGUUGCUCGGGUCCAACGGCCUGGAGCAUACAAGUUGGAGUCCCUUGAUGGGACCCCCAUUCCCCCCAGGAUGUCCCUAAGAUGACUCGAGUCCUUAGGGAAAAUCCCAGGAUGUCCCUAAGAUGACUCGAGUCCUUAGGGAAAAUCUAGCGAUGCCCCGGCCAAGCUCGGGAUGCCUCGACCAAGUUCGGGAUGCCCUGACCAAGCCCAAGAUCUCUCGACUAAGUUCGAGAUGACCCGCUAUGACGACCUCGGAUCCUAUCUAAUGACGUUCCGACCAAGUUCGGGACGCCCCACUGCGUCGACCGCGAGCCUAGUCUCCCUAGACCUCAGGUCCUAUCUAAUGGCAUUCCGACCAAGCUUGGGACGCCCUGCUGCAUCGACCGCGAGCUCAGUCUCCCUCGACCUUGGGUUCUGUCUAACGAUGUCCCGAUGAAGUACGAGGCGCCCCGCCGAGUCAACUGCGAGCUAAGGCUCCCCCGAUAUCGGGAACUACCUAACGAAGAUUCGAUUAUGGUCUUAGACGCCUGAGGCAGAGACUACGGGUCGAAAAGCACUCAAGUUCCAACAGCAACCCAGCCUCGACUCGCACUACAACUAAAUCCAAGCCUAAAGACUUAGCGGAAUUCUUCAAGAAUCCGAGCCCAAACACUUAGCGCAAUUCUUCAAAAAUCUGAGCCUGAAGACUUAGUGGAAUUCUUCAAAAAAUGUCGAAAUUACAUGCGAAAGUAAACGAUGCUCGAAGUUCUACUCAAAUAGUCAAAAAUAAAAGCUCGUUGGAAGUGCGAAUGAAAACGAGUCAAAAACACAACAGAAUGGAAAAAAAGCAUAUAUAUUUCAUUGAUGAAAAGUUGUAAGGCUAAGUACAAAUUUUUGGCUCCAAGGCCGACCCACUUGGCCGCACAAUGGCCUUGGUGGCUGACCUCAUUUACAAAAAAAAGAGAGAGAAAAGAAAAACUAAGUCCUAAGGCAUUUCUGGAACGGCGAUGGUCUC